GCAAGUUGAGCGGCAGCGGAAAGAAGCUUGCUUCUUUGCCGGCGAGCAGCGGACGGGUGAGUAAUGUCUGGGGAUCUGCCCGAUGGAGGGGGAUAACUACUGGAAACGGUAGCUAAUACCGCAUAAUGUCGCAAGACCAAAGUGGGGGACCUUCGGGCCUCAUGCCAUCGGAUGAACCCAGAUGGGAUUAGCUAGUAGGUGGGGUAAUAGCUCACCUAGGCGACGAUCCCUAGCUGGUCUGAGAGGAUGACCAGCCACACUGGAACUGAGACACGGUCCAGACUCCUACGGGAGGCAGCAGUGGGGAAUAUUGCACAAUGGGGGAAACCCUGAUGCAGCCAUGCCGCGUGUGUGAAGAAGGCCUUCGGGUUGUAAAGCACUUUCAGCGGGGAGGAAGGCAGCGGCGUGAAUAGCGCCGUAGAUUGACGUUACCCGCAAAAGAAGCACCGGCUAACUCCGUGCCAGCAGCCGCGGUAAUACGGAGGGUGCGAGCGUUAAUCGGAAUUACUGGGCGUAAAGCGUACGCAGGCGGUUUGUUAAGUCAGAUGUGAAAUCCCCGGGCUUAACCUGGGAACUGCAUUUGAAACUGGCAGGCUAGAGUCUCGUAGAGGGGGGUAGAAUUCUAGGUGUAGCGGUGAAAUGCGUAGAGAUCUGGAGGAAUACCGGUGGCGAAGGCGGCCCCCUGGACGAAGACUGACGCUCAGGUACGAAAGCAUGGGGAGCAAACAGGAUUAGAUACCCUGGUAGUCCACGCUGUAAACGAUGUCGAUUUGAAGGUUGUGGCCUUGAGCCGUAGCUUUCGGAGCUAACGCGUUAAAUCGACCGCCUGGGGAGUACGGCCGCAAGGUUAAAACUCAAAUGAAUUGACGGGGGCCCGCACAAGCGGUGGAGCAUGUGGUUUAAUUCGAUGCAACGCGAAGAACCUUACCUACUCUUGACAUCCAGAGUACAGGGCAGAGAUGUCCUGGUGCCUUUGGGACCUCUGAGACAGGUGCUGCAUGGCUGUCGUCAGCUCGUGUUGUGAAAUGUUGGGUUAAGUCCCGCAACGAGCGCAACCCUUAUCCUUUGUUACCAGCGAUUCGGUCGGGAACUCAAAGGAGACUGCCGGUGAUAAACCGGAGGAAGGUGGGGAUGACGUCAAGUCAUCAUGGCCCUUACGAGUAGGGCUACAC
rnacentral:rRNA from 1 species